UGGCAUCGACGAACAAUGCAAGUCGAGCGAAUGGAUUAAGAGCUUGCUCUUAUGAAGUUAGCGGCGGACGGGUGAGUAACACGUGGGUAACCUGCCCAUAAGACUGGGAUAACUCCGGGAAACCGGGGCUAAUACCGGAUAACAUUUUGCACCGCAUGGUGCGAAAUUGAAAGGCGGCUUCGGCUGUCACUUAUGGAUGGACCCGCGUCGCAUUAGCUAGUUGGUGAGGUAACGGCUCACCAAGGCAACGAUGCGUAGCCGACCUGAGAGGGUGAUCGGCCACACUGGGACUGAGACACGGCCCAGACUCCUACGGGAGGCAGCAGUAGGGAAUCUUCCGCAAUGGACGAAAGUCUGACGGAGCAACGCCGCGUGAGUGAUGAAGGCUUUCGGGUCGUAAAACUCUGUUGUUAGGGAAGAACAAGUGCUAGUUGAAUAAGCUGGCACCUUGACGGUACCUAACCAGAAAGCCACGGCUAACUACGUGCCAGCAGCCGCGGUAAUACGUAGGUGGCAAGCGUUAUCCGGAAUUAUUGUGCGUAAAGCGCGCGCAGGUGGUUUCUUAAGUCUGAUGUGAAAGCCCACGGCUCAACCGUGGAGGGUCAUUGGAAACUGGGAGACUUGAGUGCAGAAAGAGGAAAGUGGAAUUCCUUGUGUAGCGGUGAAA
rnacentral:rRNA from 1 species